rnacentral:lncRNA from 1 species
UCACACAUAGCCUUGCAAACCACAUGAAGGAGAUUUAACUUUAUCUCAAUGACAGUGGGGGAAAUCAGUGGAGGUGUUGGCAUGGGUGUGAUGUGAUGUCACCAAGGUCCCAGUGUUCAUGGAAGCCUGUGUUGAGAGAGCCACAGAGCAAAGUAUCUGGGACCACUGAGUCACCAUAUGGAGGAGAGCUACCUGGAACAUUCAGGGUGGACUUCGUAUAAGUGAGAGGUCAACAGAUGUCCUCUCUGUUCCUGGUCACCGUGCUAGGUGUGGAGGACACAGAGAGGGAGAAGACCUCUCUGCCUUCUUGGAGCUCACAAGCCGGUAGAAAACUUCUAAGCAGGAAAGUAAAAUGAUCAGGGUUUUAAAACUCAAUCCAUCUAAUGAUCAAUCUGGUGGCACAGUGAAGGAUUUAUUGGUGUGUGUCUCACUUGAAUCACUUUUAAAUAAAUUUAAAAAUCCACCUUUUCCACACUCUAAGAAUACUUUGUGGGCUGAGGUCCUGAAAGUCAUGUCAUUAAAAAAUUUUUUUAUUUUGUUGUGAUUUCACAUUUACAAAAAAGUUACAAGAUAUACAAAUAACAUCUAUGUAACCUUUUCUGAGAUUUACCAAUUGUUAACACAGUUGUUGAUAUUUUGUCUCGUUUGCUCAUCUAUCAAUCUUCUAUGUACACACACACUCAUUCACUGAACCGUCUGAUAGUAGUUUGCAGACAUCAUGCCUUUAUUCCUAUUCACAAAUAUUCCAAUGUCUAUUUCCUAAAAACAAGAACUUUCUCUUCUAUAACAACAAUAAACAUCAAAAUCAGGAAAUGUAAUAAUGUAUCAAAUACUAUAAUUUAACCCAAUUUUGCU